rnacentral:rRNA from 1 species
GAUGAACGCUGGCGGCGUGCCUAAUACAUGCAAGUCGAGCGGACGGACGAGAAGCUUGCUUCUCUGAUGUUAGCGGCGGGCGGGUGAGUAACGCGUGGAUAACCUACCUAUAAGACUGGGAUAACUUCGGAACACCGGCGCUAAUACGGGAGAAUAUUUUGAACCGCAUGGUUCAAAAGAGAGAGACGGUCUUGCUGUCAGUUAUCGAGGGAUACGCGCUGGAUUAGCUAGUUGGUAAGGUAACGGCUUACCAAGGCAACGAUGCAUAACCGACCUGAGAGAGGGAUCGGCGACACUGGAACUUAGACACGCUCCAGACUCCUGCGAGAGGCACCAGUAGCGAAUCUUACGCAAUGGGCGAAAGCCUGACGGAGCAACGCCACGCGAGUGAUGAAGGUCUUCGGAUCGUAAUACUCUGUUAUUAGUUAAGAACAUAUGUGUAAGUUACUGUGCACAGCUUGACGGUACCUAAUCAGAAAGCCACGGCUAACUACGUG